UACGGAGGGGACUAGCGUUGUUCGGAAUUACUGGGCGUAAAGCGCACGUAGGUGGUUUGUUAAGCCAGCUGUGAAAUCCCCGGGCUCAACCUGGGCACUGCAGUUGGAACUGGCAAGCUAGAGUAGGGUAGAGGGGUGUGGAAUUCCAGGUGUAGCGGUGAAAUGCGUAGAUAUCUGGAGGAACAUCAGUGGCGAAGGCGACACCCUGGACUCAUACUGACACUGAGGUGCGAAAGCGUGGGGAGCAAACAGG
rnacentral:rRNA from 1 species